CCUACGGGUGGCAGCAGUAGGGAAUCUUCCACAAUGGGCGAAAGCCUGAUGGAGCAAAGCCGCGUGGGUGAAGAAGGUCCUCGGAUCGUAAAACCCUGUUGUUAGAGAAGAAAGUGCGUGAGAGUAACUGUUCACGUUUCGACGGUAUCUAACAAGAAAGCCACGGCUAACUACGUGACAGCCGCCGCGGUAAUACGUAGGUGCCAAGCGUUAUCCGGAUUGAUUGGGCGUAAAGGGAACGCAGGUGGUCUUUUAAGUCUGAUGUGAAAGCUUUCGGCUUAACCGGAGUAGUGCAUUGGAUACUGGGAGACUUGAGUGCAGAAGAGGAGAGUGGAACUCGAGGUGUAGCGGUGAAAUGCGUAGAUAUAUGGAAGAACACCAGUGGCGAAAGCAGCUCUCUAGUCUGUAACUGACGCUGAUGUUCGAAAGCGUGGGUAGCAAACAGGAUUAGAUACCCUUGUAGUC
rnacentral:rRNA from 1 species